rnacentral:rRNA from 1 species
AUUGAACGCUGGCGGCAAGCCUAACACAUGCAAGUCGAACGAGUGGCGGACGGGUGAGUAAUGUCUGGGAAACUGCCUGAUGGAGGGGGAUAACUACUGGAAACGGUAGCUAAUACCGCAUACCAUCGGAUGUGCCCAGAUGGGAUUAGCUAGUAGGUGGGGUAAAGGCUAACCUAGGCGACGAUCCCUAGCUGGUCUGAGAGGAUGACCAGCUAGACGGGAACUGGGACAGGGUCCAGACUCCUACGGGGGGAAGCAGUGGGGAAUAUUGCAAAAGGGGGGAAAGCCGGAUGUAGCCAGGCGGCGUGUAUGAAGAAGGCCUGCGGGUUGUAAAGUACUUUCAGCGGGGAGGCGUUACCCGAAGAAGAAGCACCGGCUAACUCCGUGCCAGCAGCCGCGGUAAUAC